rnacentral:rRNA from 1 species
AUACAGAGGGUGCAAGCGUUAUUCGGAAUUACUGGGCGUAAAGCGCGCGUAGGCGGAUGAUUAAGUCAGUUGUGAAAGCCCUGGGCUCAACCUAGGAACUGCAUCUGAUACUGGUCGUCUAGAGUUUAAGAGAGGGAAGUGGAAUUCCAGGUGUAGCAGUGAAAUGCGUAGAUAUCUGGAGGAACAUCAGUGGCGAAGGCAACUUCCUGGCUUAAAACUGACGCUGAGGUGCGAAAGCGUGGGUAGCGAACGGGAUUAGAAACCCUAGUAGUCC